rnacentral:rRNA from 1 species
CCUACGGGUGGCAGCAGUGAGGAAUAUUGGUCAAUGGGCGCGAGCCUGAACCAGCCAAGCCGCGUGAAGGAAGACUGCCCUACGGGUUGUAAACUGCUUUUAUAAAGGAAUAAAGUGAGGCACGUGUGCCUGUCUGUAUGUACUGUACGAAUAAGGAUCGGCUAACUCCGUGCCAGCAGCCGCGGUAAUACGGAGGAUCAGAGCGUUAUCCGGAUUUAUUGGGUUUAAAGGGAGCGUAGAUGGGUUGUUAAGUCAGUUGUGAAAGGUUGCGGCUCAACUGGUAAAGUGCAAAUGAUACUGGCAGUCUAGAGUACAGUAGAGGGAGGCGGAAUGCGUGGUGUAGCGGUGAAAUGCUUAGAUAUCACGAAGAACACCGAUUGCGAAGGCAGCUUACUAAACUGCCACUGACGUUGAUGCUCGAAAGUGUGGGUAUCAAACAGGAUUAGAUACCCGAGUAGUC